GCUCCUGUGGUGCAAUCGGUUAGCGCGCGGUACUUAUUAUGCCGAGGUUGUGAGUUCAAGCCUCACCUGGAGCA
rnacentral:tRNA from 1 species